AUACGAAGGGGGCUAGCGUUGUUCGGAAUUACUGGGCGUAAAGGGCGCGUAGGCGGUACUUCAAGUCAGGCGUGAAAGCCCCGGGCUCAACCUGGGAACCGCGCUUGAGACUGGAGAACUAGAGCUCGGGAGAGGAUGGUGGAAUUCCCAGUGUAGAGGUGAAAUUCGUAGAUAUUGGGAAGAACACCGAUGGCGAAGGCAGCCAUCUGGACCGACACUGACGCUGAGGCGCGAAAGCGUGGGGAGCAAACAGGA
rnacentral:rRNA from 1 species